CAACCAUGCAUGCACAUGUAUGCACGCACUGCCCAUGUGCACACAACCUCAGGUGCACCCGACACAAGCAUGCAUGCCAGCACACACACACACACACACACACACACACAGAUGCCAUGCCCUCACUCCUCUGUCUCUGUCUAGUGAGUCAUUUGGUUCUCCUGUGCCUGCGGUUUCUAAUUGUGGAAAGAAUGGCUCUGUGCACGUAAGUGCCCCUUCUAUAAAUGCACCGGAUCAUUCCUUCUGUUACUGACACAUAAUCCUGAGGGCCAGCUGCUGUAAGCGGCAAACAGGAAGGUGCUGCGGGGCUGCAGGCCGAGCUCGUGCCACGGCAGUGAACGUCGGCAAGUAUUUUUAGGUUCCUCUCCGAUGAACGCGUAUGGGCCUUGCCCGAAAAGACCAGCGUGAGCACCCUCGGCCCUGCUUGGAGUCCCGGGAAAGCGGGGCCUGCGUCCUUCCCAGCCACUUCACAGGCAGGUGUCCUAGUUGCUCCAAGAACAGAAAUAGCCAUUGUCUGCCUCACGGAGAGGAGGGAGGGGAGCCAGGGAAGCCGCCGCACGGCAUCGCCAGCUCCGUGCACAGGCAGAAACAAUGCCAUCUUCCCGAAAGGAAAUCGGCAAUAAAAACUCCUGCAGGACUUCCUAUUCAGAGUUUUUCCCAUUUGGACCCGAAAAGGGCGGCCCCCGCCCCUCCCAGCGCCAAGCCCACCACCACCGAGACGCUCCCACCACGUUCACAGGCUUCAGGAGAACUCGAAGAUUUUAUUACACCGCUGGUGGAGGAGGCAAAAUUCCAUUCCAAAUAUAAUGAUACUUUUGGAGUCUGA
rnacentral:lncRNA from 12 species